AAUAUGUGCUGGUGGCUACUCUUUCCCUCUCUGAGCUCUCUCAUCCUAUAAAUAUUGAAACAAAGCCUCUCUUGUCCCGAAUAAAACAGCAGGUUUAGAGAGAGAGAGACCACUAUCUGUUGUGAGUGUCCUUCUCUGUUGCCAACUCUCUCUCACUCUAUUGUAGGGUUUUCUUUUCUCAAACUAAACCAUUUCCAUUUAUCUCUCCUUUCUAGAGAGAGAAACUCGGAGUCAUGGACUCCUACACGGUACAUUUGGCUAUGGCGGCUCUCGUCGGAGCCUCCUUCGUCGCCGUCUCCGCCUACUAUAUGCACCGCAAAACCCUAACUCAGCUCCUCGAGUUCGCCAAGACCGUGGAGCGAGAGAGGGAGGAUGUCUCCGAUGGUGGCGGCGAUUCGCCGCAGCAUUUGAAGAAGCGCCGGAGCCACGCCCGGCGGAAGGGGAAUAAUUAUUAUAGGAGAAGCUCGGCGUCGUUGCCGGAUGUUAUGGCGAUCUCCGGUGCGAUUGAUGCCGAGGAUAGGCGGAAUGGUCUGGUACAUGUCGAAGGUAUCCCGCCCGGGUUGCCGAGGCUGCACACACUUCCUGAAGGGAAAUCAGCUUUACUUGCAACCACAGCCAAGAGAAGUAGUGGCCUUUUGAGACCCACUUCCCCCAAGUCUCCUGUUGCAAGUGCUAGUGCAUUUGAGAGUGUAGAAGGUUCAGAUGAUGAGGACAAUUUGACUGAUAGUUCUAAACUAGACACUACAUACCUCCACACUAAUGGAAACGCGGGAACAGAUAAAAGCCUAUUUGAGAGUUUACCUGUUAAGGAAAAUGGGGAACAAUUGCCAAUAGCAGCUCCAAGUAUGAUCCGUUCUCAUAGUGUAUCUGGUGAUUUGCAUGGCGUUCAGCCUGACCCAAUUGCAGCUGAUAUUCUGAGGAAAGAGCCAGAACAAGAAACCUUUGCUAGACUUAAAAUUACCCCUAUGGAGGUUCCAUCGCCUGAUGAAGUGGAGUCCUAUAUUGUCAUUCAAGAAUGCCUGGAAUUGAGAAAAAGAUACAUAUUCAGUGAGGCAAUUGCUCCUUGGGAGAAAGAAGUUAUAUCUGACCCCAGCACCCCAAAGCCUAAUCCAGCUCCUUUCUUUUACGCUCCUGAAGGGAAAUCUGAUCAUUAUUUUGAGAUGCAAGAUGGUGUUGUUCAUGUUUAUGCCAAUAAAGACUCAAAAGAAGAGCUUUUCCCUGUUGCUGAUGCUACAACCUUCUUCACUGACCUGCAUCAUAUACUUCGGGUCAUAGCAGCUGGAAAUAUUAGAACCUUAUGCCACCAUCGACUGAAUCUUCUAGAACAGAAAUUCAAUCUUCACUUGAUGCUUAAUGCGGAUAGGGAAUUUUUGGCCCAGAAAAGUGCUCCACACCGUGAUUUUUAUAAUGUCAGGAAAGUUGAUACACAUGUUCAUCACUCAGCAUGCAUGAAUCAGAAACAUCUUUUAAGGUUUAUCAAGUCAAAGUUGAGAAAAGAGCCCGAUGAGGUUGUAAUAUUUCGAGAUGGGACAUACUUGACCUUGAAAGAAGUUUUUGAGAGUCUGGAUCUGACGGGGUAUGACCUAAAUGUUGACCUUUUGGAUGUUCAUGCAGACAAGAGCACAUUUCAUCGUUUUGACAAGUUUAAUCUCAAGUAUAAUCCCUGUGGUCAAAGUAGGCUCAGGGAGAUUUUCCUAAAGCAGGACAAUCUUAUUCAAGGUCGUUUCCUUGCUGAGGUGACAAAACAGGUGUUCACUGAUCUUGAGGCAAGCAAAUAUCAGAUGGCUGAAUACCGGAUAUCAAUAUAUGGUAGGAAGCAAAGUGAGUGGGACCAACUCGCUAGCUGGAUAGUCAACAAUGAAUUGUACAGUGAGAAUGUUGUUUGGCUAAUUCAGCUCCCAAGAUUGUACAAUAUCUACAAGGACAUGGGAAUUGUCACCUCUUUCCAGAAUAUUCUUGACAACAUCUUUCUUCCUCUAUUUGAGGUCACUGUGGAUCCAGAAUCACAUCCUCAGCUGCACGUUUUUCUAAAACAGGUUGUUGGGUUGGAUUUAGUGGAUGAUGAAAGCAAGCCUGAACGACGCCCCACAAAACAUAUGCCCACUCCAGAUCAGUGGACCAAUGCCUUCAAUCCUGCCUUUUCUUACUAUGUGUAUUACUGUUAUGCAAAUCUCUACACAUUAAACAAGCUUCGUGAAUCAAAGGGAAUGGCAACUAUCAAAUUCCGUCCACAUUCUGGAGAGGCUGGUGACAUAGACCACCUUGCUGCAACCUUUCUGACAUCCCAUAACAUUGCACACGGAAUCAAUUUGAGAAAAUCUCCUGUUCUUCAGUAUCUGUAUUAUCUGGCACAGAUUGGUCUUGCCAUGUCUCCACUGAGCAACAACUCCUUAUUUUUAGACUACCACCGGAAUCCUUUCCCCAUGUUCUUCUUACGUGGUCUCAAUGUUUCCCUUUCAACUGAUGAUCCUCUUCAAAUCCAUUUAACAAAAGAACCAUUGGUGGAAGAGUAUAGCAUAGCUGCUUCCGUCUGGAAGCUGAGUUCAUGUGAUCUAUGUGAGAUUGCUCGUAAUUCUGUCUACCAAUCUGGGUUUUCACAUGCUCUUAAAUCCCACUGGAUUGGAAAAGAGUACUACAAAAGAGGACCUGAUGGGAAUGAUAUCCACAGAACUAACGUUCCUCAUAUCCGGGUGGAAUUUCGUGACACGAUCUGGAGGGAGGAGAUGCGACAAGUGUAUCUAGGAAAGCCCAUAAUUCCUGAAGAAGUUGACAAGUGAUUUUGUGAGUCAGGUCAUAUCUUAAUGUCAUUCUUGAAUGGCCAUGUAUAAUUAAAGUAAUCCCCAAGGUGUGAAAAACUUGCAUUCCGACUGCAAUGUGGUCUAAACAAACCAUAUGACCAUGCGAAUGCGCGAAAAUUGGCUUUGGCAGGCAUAUAUAUUAACAUCAACAGCUGUCAGACAAGGGUCUAAGAAUAUGAGGUAUAAACCAUGUAUAUGAUAUAUAAUUCAUAUUUAGAUAUACCACCUUAUGUAGAUAAGGUACGAGUCUUGAAUACAAAGCUGUAGCCAAGAAAGACAUCGAAAUAAUUUUGUUCCAUCCAAGAGUUGAAAAAGAAUACGUAUUUAAAGAAGUAUUGAUAAAGCUGCUGAGUUUUGUGGUUUUGCAGUCUUUUUUUUUACAAGUGUAAGGUUUCUACAAAAUAAAAGGGUUGUUCAUGGCAACUAGAGGAAGAUGCUCUCUUUGCCUCUUCAAA